GAUGAACGCUGGCGGCGUGCCUAAUACAUGCAAGUCGAGCGAACGGACGAGAAGCUUGCUUCUCUGAUGUUAGCGGCGGACGGGUGAGUAACACGUGGAUAACCUACCUAUAAGACUGGGAUAACUUCGGGAAACCGGAGCUAAUUCCGGCUGAUAUUUUGAACCGCAUGGUUCAAAAGUGAAAGACGGUCUUGCUGUCACUUAUAGAUGGAUCCGCGCUGCAUUAGCUAGUUGGUAAGGUAACGGCUUACCAAGGCAACGAUCCGUAGCCGACCUGAGAGGGUGAUCAGCCACACUGGAACUGAGACACGGUCCAGACUCCUACGGGAGGCAGCAGUAGGGAAUCUUCCGCAAUGGGCGAAAGCCUGACGGAGCAACGCCGCGUGAGUGAUGAAGGUCUUCGGAUCGUAAAACUCUGUUGUUAGGGAAGAACAUAUGUGUAAGUAACUGUGCACAUCUUGACGGUACCUAAACAGAAAGCCACGGCUAACUACGUG
rnacentral:rRNA from 1 species